rnacentral:rRNA from 1 species
UUUAUUGGAGAGUUUGAUCCUGGCUCAGGAUGAACGCUGGCGGCGUGCCUAAUACAUGCAAGUCGAGCGAAUGGAUUAAGAGCUUGCUCUUAUGAAGUUAGCGGCGGA